rnacentral:rRNA from 1 species
AUUCCCCUAGUAGCGGCGAGCGAAGCGGGAAGAGCUCAAAUUUGUAAUCUGGCGUCCUUCGGGCGUCCGAGUUGUAAUCUAUAGAGACGUUUUCCGUGCCGGACCGUGUCCAAGUCCCUUGGAACAGGGUAUCAAAGAGGGUGACAAUCCCGUACUUGACACGACGACCGGUGCUCUGUGAUACGUUUUCUACGAGUCGAGUUGUUUGGGAAUGCAGCUCAAAAUGGGUGGUAAAUUCCAUCUAAAGCUAAAUAUAGGCGAGAGACCGAUAGCGAACAAGUACCGUGAGGGAAAGAUGAAAAGCACUUUGGAAAGAGAGUUAAACAGUAUGUGAAAUUGUUGAAAGGGAAACGAUUGAAGUCAGUCAUGUCCAUUGGAUUCAGCUGGUUCUGCCAGUGUAUUUCCUUUGGACGGGUCAACAUCAGUUUGAGCCGGCGGAUAAUGGCAGAGGGAAGGUAGCACCCCCGGGUGUGUUAUAGCCCUUUGUCGCAUACGCCGGCCCAGACUGAGGAAUGCAGCUCGCCUUUAUGGCCGGGGUUCGCCCACGUACGAGCUUAGGAUGUUGGCAUAAUGGCUUUAAACGACCCGUCUUGAAACACGGA